rnacentral:rRNA from 1 species
AGGACUAACGCUGGCGGCGUGCCUAACACAUGCAAGUCGAACGAGGGGUAGCAAUACCCCUAGUGGCAGACGGGUGAGUAACACGUAGUCAACCUACCUCUUAAUGGGGGAUAACUAGCCGAAAGGUUAGCUAAUACCGCAUACGAUCGUCGAGUGGCAUCACACGACGAUGAAAGGAGCAAUCCGUUGAGAGAGGGGACUGCGUCCCAUUAGUUAGUUGGUGGGGUAAUGGCCUACCAAGACUCCGAUGGGUAGCUGGCUUGAGAGAGCGACCAGCCACACUGGAACUGAGACACGGUCCAGACUCCUACGGGAGGCAGCAGUGAGGAAUUUUUCCGCAAUGGGGGAAACCCUGACGGAGCGACGCCGCGUGUGGGAAGAAGGCCUUCGGGUCGUAAACCACUGUCGAGGGGGACGAUAUUGACGGUACCCCUGGAGGAAGCCCCGGCUAACUACGCGCCAGCAGCCGC